rnacentral:rRNA from 1 species
AGUCGAACGGUCAGUAGCAAUACUGAUAGUGGCGCACGGGUGCGUAACACGUAACUAACCUACCCAUCAUUGGGGGAUAGCCCGCCGAAAGGCGGAUUAAUACCGCAUAACACUAUAGAACGGCAUCGUUUAGUAGUUAAAGAUUUAUUGAUGAUGGAUGGGGUUGCGGGUCAUUAGCUAGUUGGUUGGGUAACGGCUGACCAAGGCGACGAUGACUAGGGGAGCUGAGAGGCUGGUCCCCCACACGGGCACUGAGAUACGGGCCCGACUCCUACGGGAGGCAGCAGUAGGGAAUAUUGGGCAAUGGGCGAGAGCCUGACCCAGCCAUGCCGCGUGCAGGAAGAAGGCUUUCUGAGUCGUAAACUGCUUUUGACAGGGAAGAAUAAGCUGAACGUGUUCAGUGAUGACGGUACCUGCAGAAUAAGCACCGGCUAACUCCGUGCCAGCAGCCGCGGUAAUACGGAGGGUGCGAGCGUUGUCCGGAUUUAUUGGGUUUAAAGGGUGCGUAGGCGGCCUUAUAAGUCCGGGGUGAAAGCCCGUUGCUCAACAACGGAACUGCCCUGGAUACUGGAGAGCUUGAGUACAGACGAGGUUGGCGGAAUGGACUGAGUAGCGGUGAAAUGCAUAGAUACAGUCCAGAACCCCGAUUGCGAAGGCAGCUGACUAGGCUGUUACUGACGCUGAGGCACGAAAGCGUGGGGAGCGAACAGGAUUAGAUACCCUGGUAGUCCACGCCGUAAACGAUGGAUACUCGCUGCGAGCUAAAGAUUGUUCGUGGCUUAGGGAAACCGAUAAGUAUCCCACCUGGGGAGUACGCUCGCAAGAGUGAAACUCAAAGGAAUUGAC